CAGGGGAGGGCCCCUGGAGGGCUCAGCUCCCGCGUGAGGGUCCAGCCUGGACACAAGGUUGAGACGCACAUGGGGACAAGUGGGAGGUAUUGGGUGGGGCACAGGGGCUAGGAGGCCAAGGGCUUGCUCCUGGAAUUCUAUACAGGCCUGCAAACCCUGCUCAGUGGAACACCACACCAGACACAGUUCUGGGGCUGGAGGAGCCGCAGCCACCCCGGGACCCCCACCAUCCUGGCAUCAAGGGCCUCAGACUCUGCUCUCUGUAAGCUCCCUCUGGAGGGAGCAGAGCCAGUGAGAUCUGGAGAACAGAGGGUACCCCCUGAGCUGUCCUUCCCCUGCAGAGGGGCCAAGAAGCACCCCUGGGAGGCCAUUAGUGUCAGCAAGAAAGGUACGGCAGGGCGGGGCCAGGACAGGGUGAACAGGACCCCAGCGCUUGGUGGCCACGAGUCCCAGCUCUGGGAGGAACAGGCCUUGAGGAUGCAGAGAGGUUUGCAUUGGCAAAAGUCUCGGCAUCUCUCAUUUUUCCCGUACAUGCACCACCACCGCUGCUUCCUGCUGUAGCCCCUCUCCGCCAAGAGGCAUUCCCAGCCCCCAGGACCAUAGAG
rnacentral:lncRNA from 1 species